rnacentral:tRNA from 1 species
GCCUGGGUGGCUCAGUCAGUUGAGCGUCUGACUUUGGCUCAGGUCAUGAUCUCGCGGUCCGUGGGUUCGAGCCCCGUGUCGGGCU